UACAGAGGUCUCAACCGUUGUUCGGAUUCACUGGGCGUAAAGGGUGCGUAGGCGGGUCUUUAAGUCAGGGGUGAAAUCCUGGAGCUCAACUCCAGAACUGCCUUUGAUACUGAGGAUCUUGAGUACGGGAGAGGUGAGUGGAACUGCGAGUGUAGAGGUGAAAUUCGUAGAUAUUCGCAAGAACACCAGUGGCGAAGGCGGCUCACUGGCCCGUAACUGACGCUGAGGCACGAAAGCGUGGGGAGCAAACGGG
rnacentral:rRNA from 1 species